GAUGAACGCUAGCUACAGGCUUAACACAUGCAAGUCGAGGGGCAGCACUAGGUAGCAAUACUGAGGUGGCGACCGGCGCACGGGUGCGUAACGCGUAUCCAACCUUCCCGAUACUCUUGGAUAGCCUUCCGAAAGGGAGAUUAAUACAAGAUGGUGUUUCACUUUCGCAUGUUAUUGAACUAAAGAUUUAUCGGUAUCGGAUGGGGAUGCGUGACAUUAGAUAGUAGGCGGGGUAACGGCCCACCUAGUCUACGAUGUCUAGGGGUUCUGAGAGGAAGGUCCCCCACACUGGAACUGAGACACGGUCCAGACUCCUACGGGAGGC
rnacentral:rRNA from 1 species